UCAUGGCUCAGGACGAACGCUGGCGGCGUGCUUAACACAUGCAAGUCGACGGAAAGGCCCUGCUUUUGUGGGGUGCUCGAGUGGCGAACGGGUGAGUAACACGUGAGUAACCUGCCCUUGACCUUGGGAUAACUUCAGGAAACUGGGGCUAAUACCGGAUAGGAGCUCCUGCUGCAUGGUGGGGGUUGGAAAGUUUCGGCGUUGGGGAUGGACUCGCGGCUUAUCAGCUUGUUGGUGGGGUAGUGGCUUACCAAGGCUUUGACGGGUAGCCGGCCUGAGAGGGUGACCGGCCACAUUGGGACUGAGAUACGGCCCAGACUCCUACGGGAGGCAGCAGUGGGGAAUAUUGCACAAUGGGCGGAAGCCUGAUGCAGCAACGCCGCGUGCGGGAUGACGGCCUUCGGGUUGUAAACCGCUUUCGCCUGUGACGAAGCGUGAGUGACGGUAAUGGGUAAAGAAGCACCGGCUAACUACGUG
rnacentral:rRNA from 1 species